AACUUAUAUGUUAUUUAUUUUUUUUUUCAAAGAACUUUAUUUAAAUGAAAUUAGUAUACAUCAAAACAACAUAAUGAAGUAUACAACACAAUACAACAGCCAAGCAGCACAGCCAGGGGUGAUUAGAUAAGAACCUGCAGACGAACAUAUUGAGAUUGUCCUUUGAGCCUUUUCAUUUGUAGAGUCUGUUAUUGAUUUGAUAUAUAGACCCAUAUCUUUAAUGAAAAAAGAGAAACAAGGUGUUUUAUUAGCAAAUUAGCAUUUAUGAAUAUAAAAUUUAGCAAAGAGUAUUAGUAAGUUUAUUACAAAGAAAUGAUUGGCAUAAUAUCUAUGAAAUCUAUAGAAACAAAAUAAAACAUUUUCCCAGCAUAAGGAAAAAUUCUUUAAAAUAUGGUCAUUAAUAAACCUGCUAAAUUCUGACCAAAACCUUUGUAUAAAAGGGCAGAGCCAAAAGAGAUGCGUCACAGUUUCUGGAUGACCCUCACAGAAACUGCAAUUAGUGUUUAUGUCGCUUUUAAAUUUUACCAUAUAGUGUUUAGCAGAGUAAAUUUUAUGGAGAAUUUUAAAUGACACUUCCUUCACCUUGUUUACAAUGAAAUAUUUAUGGGGGAUCAUCCAAACUGUUUUCCAGUGAAUAUCUGGGAUAUAACAGCUCCAGUAAAAUGUUAUAGCUGGACGAGAAACAAUAAGUUCUUGGAACAACCUGCCUAUUCUCUCAUUGCUUUUCCUAAACUCCAGUGAAAAACAGAUUUUUCCCACAGAUGAUUCGGCUGGAUCAGGGAUACCAGGUGGAACAGACAGAGUAUAAUUAGUGCUUUUAAACAACAUUAAGGUGCCCAAAGGUACAGCAUUAACCACCAUGGAGAAUUCCUGGAUACCAACUGGAAAAUUAUAUAUCGAGCAGAAUUCAUUGUAAUUGAUUAAUCGUCCUCCUUUAUUAAUCAGCUGAGCCACCAGUGAAAUUCCAUUUUGAACCCAAGUUUCAAGAUAGAGUGACCUAUUUUUAAACAAAAUAUCUCUGUUGUUCCACAUGAGGUAUUUGUGAGGUGAGAAGUUAUGUUUAUAUAUGAGCGUCCUCGCUAAGAGCACCUGCUUAUGGAAAGAUGAGAGUUUUACAGGAAGUUUCUCAACACUGUAAUUACAAUGUAAAAUGAAGUUGAAGCCACCAAAGCGCGAGAAAAUGUGUUCCGGUAUAAGGUAGAUAGAGGCUGGAUUCUUAAGGAAGUGUUUAGCCCAUUUAGUUUUAAAUGUGUUAUUUGGGUAGAGAAAUCCAGAAAGUUAAGUCCACCUGAUUCAUAAUUAUUCAUAAUAACAGUUUUUUUGAUAUAGUGAGUACGAUUUUUCCAUAUAACAUUAAGCAGCAUACGAUCAAUGUCUCUACAGAUUUUGUUGUCUAAAUGUAAGGGGAGAGCAGCAUAAGUCAGUCGGGAUAAUCCUUCAGCUUUAGUAAUCAAUACUCUUCCUCUUAGAGAUAAAUCCCUCUGAAGCCACUGGUUCAGUUUAUUUUUGGUUUUCUGUAUAAUUGGUAUUAAAUUAGAGGAGCAUCUUAACUUCUGGUCUUUAGAGAUUAAGAUUCCUAAAUAAGAAACUUCUUGUUUAACAGGAAUAUUGCAAAUAUCAUUAGCAUGACAAUCCUUAAUCGGUAGCAAUUCACAUUUUUUUAAAUGUAAAAAUAAGCCGGAGGCCUUGGAAAAAGUAUUAAUCACCUCUAAGGCCAGAGGGAUCUGGUUUGCAUUCCUUAAAAAUAGUGUGGUGUCAUCAGCCAGCUGGCUGAUUAUGAGCUCUUUAUUAGCUGUGCUGAUUCCUUGUACGGCACUAUUGGAGAUAUGAGUUGUAAGGAUUUGAGAGCAAAGUAAGAAUAAAUAUGGUGAAACGGGAAUCCUUGACGAAUGCCACGUUUAAGGUCAAAUCUAGGGGUGGAGCCGUUUGCCAAUUUAAUCGCACUAUUGCAAUUGGAGUAUAAUGUUUUGACUGUGUUACAAAAAACGGCCAAAACCAAAUUUUUUUAAAGAUUGAAAAAUGAAUUGAUGUUCAAUUGUGUCAAAGGCCUUAUAGAAAUCCAGGAAAAGAAUAAAACUUUCAUCAGGCACCAAAUAUGAAUAAUCAAGUAAGUCUAGAACUAGUCUAAUGUUGUUAGUGUUUGUUCCUCAUAAAGCCUGAUUGUGUCUCAUCAAUAACUGUGUCCAAAACCUCUUUAACUCUGUAAGCAAGUAUUGAAGCCAUAAUUUUAUAAUCAUUAUUGAGUAGACUUAUAGGUCUCCAAUUAUCAAAGAGUGGGUCUUUGUUUGGUUUUGGAAUGUUAUUAGGCCUUGAGUCAGAGUGUUGUUCUCUAUACUUUCUAGAAAUACCUGUAAGAGAAAUGGAGCUAUAUGAUUAGAGAAUGAUUGAUAAAACUCAGCAGAUAAACCAUCUGUGCCGGGGGAUUUAUUGGCCUUCAGUGCAUUGAUGCACUUAGAAAUUUCCUCCACGGUAAAUGGGCUGUCACAGUAGUUUCUAUCUUCUACAUCAAUAGUUUGUAAAUUUUUAAUAUUGUUAAGAAAUGAUACUGAAAUCUCUUUAUUAUAUUUUGAGCUGUAUAAAUUAGAGCAAAAUUUGGCACAAAAAGAUGCAAUUUCUUUAGGAUUGUUUGAGAUAAUGUCAUUGAUAUUUAGUUUAUUUUUGAUCUGUAUUUUUCAAGCCUAAAAAAGUGAGCAGAAUUUUGUUCUCCUUCUUCCAGCCAUCGUUUCCUGGAUCUGACGAAGGCGCCUUCAGCCUUGUGUUUGUACAAGGCAUCCAGUUUGUUCUGAUUUUCUAUUAAAUUUAAUUUAUCUUCCUCUGAAACUUCUUCUGGGCAUUUUAGGUAAUAGGAGGUGAUCUUGCUUAUGACUUCUUCCUCUUCAGCUUUCUUUAAUUUAGAAAUCUGACUUCCAUAAUGUCUUAAAAAUUUGCCAAUUUCAAAUUUGAAAAGUUCCCAAUUGUUGCAGAAAGACCAUUCCUUUUACCCUUAUUCCAAUAAUAUAUCAUUAAUUUAUUAAUAUGAGCUUUAACUAUUUAAUGCUUCAGCAUUAAAUAGUUUCCAGUAAGCACAUUUGUAAGAUGUAUUAUCAGGAGUAUAAAUUUGGAUGCUAAUGCGAAUAGCUCUAUGAUCAGUAAGAGGGGUGGCAAGUAUGUUAACAGCAAUGUUGUGUUUAUUAAUACAUUUGGAAAUAAGCCAAAAAUCUACCCAGGAUUGUCUGGAACCUAUUUUAUUGCUCCAUGUAAAGAUUUUGUCAUCUGGGAAUUUUUCUCUCCAUAUAUCUACAACAUUAAAUUUCUCCAUAAAAUGUUUUAAAUUAGCACUGAUGAGGUCUGCUGAGGAGGAGGCCAUCUGUCGAUCGUAUUGUCUAAGGUAAUGUUAAAGUCCCCACCAAUUAAAAUGAUUAUUUGGAAAGCCAAAAAGCAAUUCUGUCUUCUAAUGAUUCGAAUAGUUUGUUGUUUUCUGUUAUAUUAUUAUAACCGUAUAUAUUAACUACAAUAAAGGUAUUGUUAAGGCAUUCGAUUACUGAGCAGAUGUAGUGACCUAGAGCGUCGCAAUCAGUAUGUAAUAUAGAUGCAGAAAAAUUAUUUUUAAGUGUGGCGACACCAGCGGAGCGCUCAGAUCCACAUUUCAUUUCCCCACUGGGAUUUCCAGAAAUUACCGUCAGAAGAUGUAGAACGACUCUCUUGAAAAAAACAAAAAUCUGUUUUAAAUUGUUUGGCAAAUAAGAAUAAUGCUUUGCGUUUGCCUGUUUGUCUCAACCCCCUGACAUUGAGAGAUACAAAUGAAACGGACAAAGUUAUUUAGAAAGAAUAACAAAGAAUAAAGAACAAGAUCUAAACUUUUAAAGAUAAAGUUGUGUUCACAAAGAAAGGGGACCGACAGCUGCACGCUUUAAGUAGUAAAGCGGUAAGAAGCCUGACUAAAUAAUUACAAUACAAGAGAAACAAAGGAAAUGUAGCACUUUGCUAUCUAUUUUGGUUUAACUAUAGUAUAUUAGGAUCUUGCAACAAGAACAAGGUAAGUCUUCAUAACUAAAUUAUAUAUUGACUAGAGGAGAAUAUAUAAUGUUUAAAAGGAACUAGAAGUGAAAGCAAAGUGUAGACCAAGCUCAGCGUGUAAAUGAAAAGGUGAAAUUAUCAUUUCUAAGGAUUCGUUGAGUAUGAAGGAGGGAAGACUUCUAAUCCGCUGAUAAAGCCACGACCUCCAACGAAGUAACCUGGUUUACCUUCCUUGUGGGCUCUGUCUAUCAAGGGCCAAAGUUUAUUGCGUCGUUCUCUGUCAUCCUUGUUCAGGUCCUCAGUGAAUCUCAGUUGGUUGUCCUUCAGGUACGAAGAUGUCUUGGCUGCUUUCCAUGAUGCAUCCCUGAGGACUCUGGAGGUGAACUGAAUGAUGAUCCCUCUAGGUUUGGUGCUACCUCUCCUUGUAGUUUGAGAUGCCACCUCCUGGAAUAUCUUUCCAACUCAGCAAGCCUCUGCUGGUUGUCAGAACGGGCGUUUAUCAGCGCAGACAGACUGGAUAUGAUCUCAUUUGUAGCAGAAGGCUCCGGGUUGCUGCGUUCAUACAUCACCUUCUUCGGUGCUGGCGAUUUCAGAGGAGUAACAGGUAGGGCAGGAAAGUCGGCAAUUUCCUCCUCAUUCAAUGUCAAAGUUAAGGGGGCAGCUGCGUAGUUGUGGCAGUUAUCAAAUAACGCGUUACCGGUUGUAGCGUUAGCCUCAUUAGCCUCGUUAGCCUCGUUAGCCGUCUCAGACGCAGGCCUGGACUUGGAUGUUUCUAGACCUCUUUUCGCUCCUUUCUGGUUCGGCAUUCUGUUAUAACUGCUAUGUAUGUUGUCUUGUAGAAAAUCAAUAGUGCUAUUGUUCAUAUAGUCAGGGCUUUACCGCGUUUUAUGAAUUUUUGUGCAGAUCUCGGUAUAGAGCGUCUCCUCACUCCGCCAUCUUGAGCCGAGCUCCGACGCCUCCAUAUUUAAUUAUAUAUGACGCUAUUCUGAAGGAGGCCAUAUUAUAGCUCAUCAGGGCCGUGAAAUCUUUACAACAAACCAAAAUUAAGCUUUUAUUUCACACAAUUUCAUCAAA